CUAAAUAAAGUGGGGUCAGGAUAUCAUCAUCCCCCAAAAAGAUUUUAAAAAUAAUGAAAAUUGGUACGUGAAUUUAUUAGAAUAAAACAGAAGUCAAAUUAAAAGUCAAUUAACAAAACUAGGUCAAAAAUAAAUUCAAAAUAAAUUGAAAAUGGGAAAUAAAAUUCCAAGAAAAAGUCAGCUUGACCAUGAGACAGUGUUCAACCUUCAUCCCAAAAAUCAAAUGCUAACAAUAAUUUUAAGUCAUAAAAAUAAAAUCAAUAAAAAAAGUGUGUUAAAAUGGAUCAGUUAGAAAAAAUAAUUAAUAUAAAAUAUUAAAAUUAAAAAA
rnacentral:lncRNA from 1 species